rnacentral:rRNA from 1 species
CCUACGAGAGGCAGCAGUGAGGAAUAUUGGUCAAUGGGCGAGAGCCUGAACCAGCCAAGUCGCGUGAAGGAUGAAGGAUCUAUGGUUUGUAAACUUCUUUUAUAAAGGAAUAAAACGAGGCACGUGUGCCUUUUUGCAUGUACUUUAUGAAUAAGGAUCGGCUAACUCCGUGCCAGCAGCCGCGGUAAUACGGAGGAUCCGAGCGUUAUCCGGAUUUAUUGGGUUUAAAGGGUGCGUAGAUGGGUUGUUAAGUCAGUUGUGAAAGUUUGCGGCUCAACCGUAAAAUUGCAAUUGAUACUGGCAGUCUUGAGUACAGUUGAGGAAGGCGGAAUUCGUGGUGUAGCGGUGAAAUGCUUAGAUAUCACGAAGAACCCCGAUUGCGAAGGCAGCUUACUAAACUGUGACUGACAUUGAUGCUCGAAAGUGUGGGUAUCAAACAGGAUUAGAUACCCCAGUAGUC